rnacentral:rRNA from 1 species
GACGAACGCUGGCGGCGUGCUUAACACAUGCAAGUCGAACGGAAAGGCCCUGCUUUUGUGGGGUGCUCGAGUGGCGAACGGGUGAGUAACACGUGAGUAACCUGCCCUUGACUUUGGGAUAACUUCAGGAAACUGGGGCUAAUACCGGAUAGGAGCUCCUGCUGCAUGGUGGGGGUUGGAAAGUUUCGGCGGUUGGGGAUGGACUCGCGGCUUAUCAGCUUGUUGGUGGGGUAGUGGCUUACCAAGGCUUUGACGGGUAGCCGGCCUGAGAGGGUGACCGGCCACAUUGGGACUGAGAUACGGCCCAGACUCGUACGGGAGGCAGCGGUGGGGAAUAUUGCACAAUGGGCGGAAGCCUGAUGCAACGACGCCGCGUGCGGGAUAACGGCCUUCGGGUUGUAAACCGCUUUCGCCUGUGACGAAGCGUGAGUGACGGUAAUGGGUAAAGAAGCACCGGCUAACUACGUG